rnacentral:rRNA from 1 species
UACAGAGGUCUCAACCGUUGUUCGGAUUCAUUGGGCGUAAAGGGUGCGUAGGCGGUCGCGUAAGUCAGGUGUGAAAUCUCAGGGCUCAACCCUGAAACUGCACUUGAUACUGCGUGGCUCGGGUACUGGAGAGGAGACUGGAAUUUACGGCGUAGCAGUGAAAUGCGUAGAUAUCGUAAGGAAGACCAGUGGCGAAGGCGAGUCUCUGGACAGUUACCGACGCUGAGGCACGAAGGUCAGGGGAGCAAACGGG